AUCUAUCUGACGAGUCCCAAAUAUGACGAAACGCGCAUCAUGGAU
rnacentral:hammerhead_ribozyme from 1 species